rnacentral:rRNA from 1 species
AGCAGCCGCCGCGGUAAUACGGAGGGUGCAAGCGUUAAUCGGAAUUACUGGGCGUAAAGCGCACGCAGGCGGUCUGACAAGUCAGAUGUGAAAUCCCCGGGCUUAACCUGGGAACUGCAUUUGAAACUGUCAGGCUGGAGUCUUGUAGAGGGGGGUGGAAUUCCAGGUGUAGCGGUGAAAUGCGUAGAGAUCUGGAGGAAUACCGGUGGCGAAGGCGGCCCCCUGGACAAAGACUGACGCUCAGGUGCGAAAGCGUGGGGAGCAAACAGGAUUAGAGACCCGCGUAGUCCCUGUCUCUUAUAC